GAGGGGCAGCGAGAGGGGGAGGCUGAAGCACAAGCCCGGGAUCCCUCCACCCUCCCACCUUCCAGAUUCCUCCUUCCCGCUAAGUUUUGUCAGUGACAGAACUCAGCCAAUUUUCUGUUCUUUCUCCCUGGAACACAGAUAUUAUCUGGUUCCUUUUAUCUGUUGGAGACGGUGGUAUGAGGUUAUCUAUUUUAUAAUCUUUGAAAAUCUGAAGUUGACUCUGAAUCUUUGACUAUGUACCAGGGAUUUUUAUUCUCAGAAUCUCAUUCGUCCUCAACUCCAGCUUUCCCACACAAUGUUUUUGUCUUAUAUCAAUCCAGGGACAAAAUAUCUCUGCCCCUUCGUCCGAAGAGCCAAAAAUGACCAAGUCCUUGAUGGAGUUUUGCUCGUUACCCAGGCUGGAGUGCAAUGGCCCGAUCUCGGCUCACCACAACCUGAGGGAGGAGGUUUAACAAUGUGGUGGGAACCGCAGUGUGUCUCUUCUGUGCCCCUCACAUUUAGAACAAUACAAGAGCUUGAGGAAAACCUCAGCAGUUGAAACUAUGUCAUGGUUCAGCAAAGAAGAAACUCCUGUCACAGAUAUCCUCAUUGAGUGAGUUGUGAAGCUUGUUGACUUAAUCAGAAUGAUCACCCAGCAUGCAUGCUCCAAUACGCUCAUUUGUCAAUGAUAAUGAGUGGCUGCAAAGUCUAUGAACAGGUCUUUAGUCGUAGUCUGUUCACUUGGUAGCACAAGUUGGUUGUGGAUGCAAGAGUGUGGCCAAAGUCAACAAAAGCUUCUAUGAGAAUCACUUACGUGGAAUUUAUAAUAAAAAGUAGGGUAUAUUAUUUGUAAAUUGUAGG
rnacentral:lncRNA from 13 species